rnacentral:lncRNA from 1 species
CUCUCCUUGAAGUUGCGGCUGCCCGUUUGCAAGGGGCCGGGAGGGAAGUGUGCUGUAGGGAGCAGGUGCAUGGCCCCUUGAAGGUUAUUUUCACCUUAGGAAAGCUGAAGCUUAAAUACUCACCAAAAAAAUCGAGGCACAUGUUUGGGCCCUUAUACUAGAACGUAAGCUGCUCGAAGGCAAAAUCCACGCAUCACCUUAAUAGGGACCAACCGGAAGUGGAUACCCAAUGAAUGAAACAAAUGAAUGUUACCCGGAAUGGACAGUCCCAACAGGCAGAGCAUCCAAAAGAAAUGCUAUGAAGGAUGGUGAGAAUAAGUAAGCUCGUGGUCAGUGUCCACGGUAAACACCAAAAGCAAUAUCCUGUCAUUCGUCAUAGGAAGGAUUGAUUGGUACAAUUGGUAAGGAUGGCGAAAGGGGUUUCUUUUUUGGGGGGUAUGAAAAUGUUCCAUCUUCUAUACAAAAGUAAAUCUGCAUUAUGACAAAUUUUGUUGUUUAUUAAGUAUAGGUUUAUUAGUAUACAUUUAUUAAAGGCGCAAUGCUUUUAAUGGUAACUAUGCUUUGGACGUAUUCUGGCCAAAAGUGUACCACCUAAAUCUAAUUAUGAGCUAACACCAAACAAAUCCAAAUUAAGGGAUUUUCUACAAAAUAACUGGCCCGUGCUCUUUUAAAAAUGCCAAAGUCAAGAAAGAUACAGAAAGGCUGAGGACUUAUUCCAGAUUAAAUGAAACUGAAGAGCCGUGACCAUUAGAUGAAAUGCAUGAUCCUAGAUUGGAUUCUGCCCUGAGAAUAAAACGAU